rnacentral:rRNA from 1 species
UGGCUCUCCUGUCUUCGGGUAGGAGAGCUGGGGGAAAGCGGCGGACGGGUGAGUAACACGUAGGUAACCUGCCCCGAAGUGGGGGAUAACCAUCCGAAAGGGUGGCUAAUACCGCAUGUGCUCUGCGGGCUGGGAGGCCUGUGGAGUAAAGCUCCGGCGCUUCGGGAGGGGCCUGCGGCCGAUUAGCUAGUUGGUGGGGUAACGGCCCACCAAGGCGAUGAUCGGUAGCUGGUCUGAGAGGACGAUCAGCCACACGGGAACUGAGACACGGUCCCGACUCCUACGGGGGGCAGCAGUGAGGAAUAUUGGACAAUGGGCGCAAGCCUGAUCCAGCAACGCCGCGUGGAGGAAGAAGGCCUUCGGGUUGUAAACUCCUUUUCUGGGGGAAGAGGAAGGACGGUACCCCAGGAAUAAGACACGGCUAACUACGUGCCAGCAGCCGCGGUAACACGUAGGUGUCGAGCGUUAUCCGGAAUUACUGGGCGU